rnacentral:rRNA from 1 species
UGGCCAGACUCCUACGGGAGGCAGCAGUGGGGAAUAUUGCACAAUGGGGGAAACCCUGAUGCAGCGACGCCGCGUGAGCGAUGAAGUCUUUCGGUAUGUAAAGCUCUAUCAGCAGGGAAGAAGAUGACGGUACCUGACUAAGAAGCCCCGGCUAACUACGUGCCAGCAGCCGCGGUAAUACGUAGGGGGCAAGCGUUAUCCGGAUUUACUGGGUGUAAAGGGAGCGUAGACGGCGAUGCAAGCCAGAUGUGAAAGCCCGGGGCUCAACCCCGGGACUGCAUUUGGAACUGUGUGGCUGGAGUGUCGGAGAGGCAGGCGGAAUUCCUAGUGCAGCGGUGAAAUGCGUAGAUAUCAGGAGGAACACCGGUGGCGAAGGCGGCUUACUGGACCAUAACUGACGUUGAGGCUCGAAAGCGUGGGGAGCGAACAGGAUUAGAUACCCGCGUA